rnacentral:rRNA from 1 species
ACGACGAAAUACAAGGUGAUGCAUGGUCGUAGUCAGUUCGGGCUGUGAAGUGUUUGGUUAAGUCCUAUAACGAGCUGCAACCCCUAUCGUUAGUAGCCAUCAGGAAAAGCGGGGGACUCUAACAAAACGGCAGGUGUAAACAGUGAGGAAGGUGGGGAUGAGGUCAAAUCAUCAUUGCCUCUACGCGAUGGGAUGCACACCUGGCACAACGGGUGGAACAA